GCUCUAUCCUGCUGCGCAAUGCUAAGAUCCGGUGAUGCAGUGCUGCAUACAGCUGCCCAGUAUCUUUGGAGCUGGCCUGGAAAGGCAAAAGCAAUAUUAUAAAGUUUAAAGAAACUAAAACCACGCUGACAUGUAAGAGGCUGCAAAGACUGAGGGGCCAGUAAUGUGUUUGAAAAAAAAGAUAAAUGACCAGUCCAGGGAAGGAAUCAAAGUUUAUCUUCCUAGGAAAAAGGAAAUAAAUGCAGAUGUGAAAAAAAAAAACCUGGAUUCAGCCAAACCUGCCAAAUAAAAACCAGCCAAGUUAC